UCAUACACAGGAAGGAGGUGUAUAUGAGGAGGUUUCUAAAUACCAGUCUGGCAGCUGAAGGUGGAAGGAUUCCUCCUGGAAUAACAGAUGCACAAACAGCCAGUACUCUGAAGGCUUCCCUGGUUGAACGCUAGCCUGGUGUCCCUGCCAUCA